rnacentral:lncRNA from 1 species
CUUUACUUGGUUUUUACCAUUAUUAAUUGCUAAUCAAAAAAUUGUCUCGUGCUUGUAGUGACAUUUAGGCGUGACACUUAUUUCGUUAUUUUUUUUUUCUUUUUUUCCUACUAUGUUCUUAUAUUAAAUCGUUAGGAUAUUACUUACAAUUUAUUUAUUUUGUUUGCAUGUGAAAUUUGUCCGAGUUCAUUAUGAACUCAUAUCACCUCCCCUUUGCAUUUCGGGAGAGCCACAAAGGCUCAAGUUCCUUAUUUUCGAGUCAAUCGGCCAGCUAUAAAAGUCGAUGAACAGGUCCCGAAGCUGAAAGAAGCAAAAGAUCGAGAAAAUUAAAAAAUUUGGGCCAAAGGCUCACUCUUAAUUCAAAAUUUUGUACUUUGUUAUUUUGGGCCUAAGCCUGCUUAAGUUUAUUAUUUCGUUAGUUUAGGACAGGUACCAAAUAUUUGGCCCAAUACGAAAUAGGCCCAAAUACUGGUCCAGGCGGACAGAAACCAGAUUUGGGCCCAACUCUCUUUCCCUCUCUGCUUUACUGUGUUCAUUUUACUUGUUAGUAUUUGCCGCUAAUCUUAAGGUUGAACAAUUCGAAUCCCCGUAAGACUCCCGUUAUGUUUUAUCAAUUUAGCUAAAAUCGAUCAUCCUUAAUUAGACUUAAAGAAUAAUUUUUGCAAAAAAGUAUUUCACUUAGUUAGUAUUUCUAUUUUUCCCUUUCUCCCUUUAAAAUAGUUCUAAUAACUAAAUAGUUCGAUUUUGCAAAGUCAAGCUAAGUUAAAAUUGUUUUAGCCAAAGGAUUAAUUGUCGGAUAACCGCAUUAGCGGAUAUUCUAGGUGCUUUAAAAACCUUCCUAGAAUGUUAAUAAG